rnacentral:rRNA from 1 species
UACGGAGGGGCAAGUGUUACUCGUAAUAAUUGGGCGUAAGGGUAUGUAGGCGGUAACUCAAGUUGAUUUGAAAGACCGGAUAAAAAGGAAACAAGAUUAAUACUGUUUACUAGAGUUUUUUGAGGAAGUGGUACUAUUAGUCCAGAGGUAAAAUUCAAAGAAAUUAAUGGGACCAACGAGGGCGAAGGCAACUUCCUAGGGAAAACUGACGCUGAGGUACGGAAAGC